CUACGGGCGGCUGCAGUGAGGAAUAUUGCACAAUGGGGGGAACCCUGAUGCAGCAACGCCGCGUGGAGGAUGACGCAUUUCGGUGUGGAAAAUCUUUUUAUAUGUCAAGAAAAUGACGGUAGCAUAUGAAUAAGCACCGGCUAACUCCGUGCCAGCAGCCGCGGUAAUACGGAGGGUGCAAGCGUUACUCGGAAUCACUGGGCGUAAAGGACGCGUAGGCGGGUUGGAAAGUCAGGUGUGAAAUCCUACAGCUUAACUGUAGAACUGCACUUGAAACUUCUAAUCUAGAGUAUGGGAGGGGGAGAUGGAAUUAGUGGUGUAGGGGUAAAAUCCGUAGAUAUCACUAGGAAUACCUAAAGCGAAGGCGAUCUCCUGGAACAUUACUGACGCUAAGGCGUGAAAGCGUGGGGAGCAAACAGGAUUAGAUACCCGUGUAGUC
rnacentral:rRNA from 1 species